GACGAACGCUGGCGGCGUGCUUAACACAUGCAAGUCGAACGGAAAGGCCCUGCUUUUGUGGGGUGCUCGAGUGGCGAACGGGUGCGUAACACGUGAGUAACCUGCCCUUGUCUUUGGGAUAACUUCAGGAAACUGGGGCUAAUAUCGGAUAGGAGAUCCUGCUGCAUGGUGGGGGUUGGAAAGUCUCGGCGGUUGGGGAUGGACGCGCGGCUUAUCAGCUUGUUGGUGGGGUAGUGGCUUACCAAGGCUGUGACGGGUAGCCGGCCUGAGAGGGUGACCGGCCACAUUGGGACUGAGAUACGGCCCAGACUCCUACGGGAGGCAGCAGUGGGGAAUAUUGCACAAUGAGCGGAAGCCUGAUGCAGCAACGCCGCGUGCGGGAUGACGGCCUUCGGGUUGUAAACCGCUUUCGCCUGUGACGAAGCGUGAGUGACGGUAAUGGGUAAAGAAGCACCGGCUAACUACGUG
rnacentral:rRNA from 1 species